rnacentral:rRNA from 1 species
UACGAAGGGGGCUAGCGUUGUUCGGAAUCACUGGGCGUAAAGGGCGCGUAGGCGGCUUUAUAAGUCGGGGGUGAAAGCCUGUGGCUCAACCACAGAAUUGCCUUCGAUACUGUAGAGCUUGAGACCGGAAGAGGUGAGUGGAACUGCGAGUGUAGAGGUGAAAUUCGUAGAUAUUCGCAAGAACACCAGUGGCGAAGGCGGCUCACUGGCCCGAUACUGACGCUGAGGCACGAAAGCGUGGGGAGCAAACAGG